GGCUGGAUCACGCGGAAGAAGGGCAGCACAGAGUUGCUGACGUGGUUGUGGAGAAGGUUUCAGAUGAAUGGUGAAUUAGGGGUGAAGAGAUGAGAGGAGGAAGGGAAAAGCGGGGAGAAAGGGGGAGAGAAUAGGACGAACAGGGAAGCUAAAGUAUCUAGAUCUCAGAUCUUCUUGAUUCCGUAUACACGCAUUGUGUACAGAAGAGAAAGGGGACAAUAUGUAUAGAAAGAAAAUAAACUGAAAAAAAA
rnacentral:lncRNA from 13 species